CAGCCGCGCGGUAAUACCGGCGGCCCGAGUGGCGGCCACUAUUAUUGGGCUUAAAGCGUCCGUAGCCGGGUUGGUUAGUCUCCCGGGAAAUCUGGCCGCUUAACGGUCAGAAUUCCGGGAGAUACUGCCAGCCUAGGGACCGGGAGAGGCCGAGGGUAUUCCCGGAGUAGGGGUGAAAUCCUAUAAUCCCAGGAGGACCACCAGUGGCGAAGGCGCCCGGCUGGCACGCGCCCGACGGUGAGGGACGAAAGCUGGGGGAGCAAAGGGGAUUAGAUACCCCCGUAGUCCCAGCUGUAAACGAUGCGGGCUAGAUGUGGGGCGGGCCUCGAGCCCGCCCAGUGUCGUAGGGAAGCCGUUAAGCCCGCCGCCUGGGGAGUACGGCCGCAAGGCUGAAACUUAAAGGAAUUGGCGGG
rnacentral:rRNA from 1 species